rnacentral:rRNA from 1 species
GACGAACGCUGGCGGCGUGCUUAACACAUGCAAGUCGAACGGUAAGGCCCCAGCUUUCUGGGGUACACGAGUGGCGAACGGGUGAGUAACACGUGGGUGACCUGCCCCGCACUUCGGGAUAAGCCUGGGAAACUGGGUCUAAUACCGGAUAGGACCGCACCGUGAGGGUGUGGUGGAAAGUUUUUCGGUGUGGGAUGGGCCCGCGGCCGAUCCCCUUGUUGGUGGGGGAAUGGCCUACCACGGCGGCGACGGGUAGCCGGUCUGAGAGGGUGGACGGCCACAGGGGAGCGGGGCGACGGUGCAGACGCCUACGGGAGGCAGCAGGGGGGAGUAGGGGGCAAGGGGCGCAAGCCUGAGCCAGCGGUCCCGCGUGGGUGAAGACGUCCGGCGGGUGGUAAAGCCCGUUUGUUGGGAAAGAACAACAGCAGCUGAAAACACCGCUGUUCUGACGGGACCGAAAGAAGAAGCACCGGCUAACUUCGUG